AAGCCAUUUGCGCGGGCAGUCCCUGCGUGA
rnacentral:piRNA from 1 species